GACGAACCGUGCGAACGUUGUUCGGAAUCACUGGGCUUAAAGGGCGCGUAGGCGGGCUGCCAAGUUCGGGGUGAAAUCCUCCCGCUCAACGGGAGAACGGCCUCGAAUACUGGCGGUCUCGAGGGAGGUAGGGGCGUGCGGAACUAUGGGUGGAGCGGUGAAAUGCGUUGAUAUCCAUAGGAACUCCGGUGGCGAAGGCGGCACGCUGGACCUCUUCUGACGCUGAGGAGCGAAAGCGUGGGGAGCAAACAGG
rnacentral:rRNA from 1 species